rnacentral:rRNA from 1 species
CGGUACGCCUGGAACAGGUGCCCCGCUUGCGGUCGGUUUACAGGUGGUGCAUGGUUGUCGUCAGCUCGUGUCGUGAGAUGUUGGGUUAAGUCCCGCAACGAGCGCAACCCUCGUUCUAUGUUGCCAGCGGUUCGGCCGGGGACUCAUAGGAGACUGCCGGGGUCAACUCGGAGGAAGGUGGGGACGACGUCAAAUCAUCAUGCCCCUUAUGUCUUGGGCUUCACGCAUGCUACAAUGGCCGGUACAAAGGGUUGCGAUACUGUGAGGUGGAGCUAAUCCCAAAAAGCCGGUCUCAGUUCGGAUUGGGGUCUGCAACUCGACCCCAUGAAGUCGGAGUCGCUAGUAAUCGCAGAUCAGCAACGCUGCGGUGAAUA